GCGCGCGGGGCUAACGGCUGCGCGAGGGCAGCAACGGUUACGGGAGCUAACGGCCGCGCGGGGCUAACGGCAGCGUGGGGCUAUCGGCCGCCGUUCGCGAACUCUCUGGCGCCUCGCUGUGGGGCCGCGGGCUUGUGGCCCCUGUGCCAGCUCCCCCUCGUCGCACGCAUGUGUCUGGACAGCCACAAGCCCCUGGCGUGUCCCGGGCGGAGGGAAAGUAGAGGCAGGUUUGCUUCAAGGAUAGUCGCACUUCAACAGGGAAAAAGCUGCCUGGUGAUCACAGCUGCAGUGUGGGAAGAAGGUUUGGCAGCAGAGUAUGUGGGAUUAAAACAACAUAAGUUGAGUGAAAAUUGCUGCUAGAUGAAGUACUUCAAAAUCCAUGGAAAGCCUCGUCUAAAGACAAAAGCCCCCUUAUCAGUGUUUGGAUUUCAGUGAUAGUUGCCUUACCUAUAAACAUCAUCAGAGGAACUACAUAUUCCUUCUAAAGAAGAGGAGCAAGAAUCUCACUGCUCAGAGAACGAUUACGUGCUUUUCAGGAGUUUUGCAAGAUUGGAGUGAUAAAGGACAGGAAGAGGAGUGCAAUUUUUCUGUUUUCAGUUUGUAGACUGUGUGCAAAUGUACCCAGGUAUCUUGAAGUAUAUGCUUGCAUAUAGCCUUUCUUAGCAA